rnacentral:rRNA from 1 species
UACGGGGGGGGUAAGCGUUGUUCGGAAUUACUGGGCGUAAAGGGCUCGUAGGCGGCCAACUAAGUCAGACGUGAAAUCCCUCAGCUUAACUGGGGAACUGCGUCUGAUACUGGAUGGCUUGGAUCCGGGAGAGGGAUGCGGAAUUCCAGGUGUAGCGGUGAAAUGCGUAGAUAUCUGGAGGAACACCGGUGGCGAAGGCGGCAUCCUGGACCGGUAUUGACGCUGGGGAGCGAAAGCCAGGGGAGCAAACGGG